CCCACUAAAAAGCCUUAAAACUAAAAACUCUAGCUAGCUAGUAUGUACUUAAGCCCCCCCCCCGUCUUUGUAUCGAAACAAGUACUACUCCUCCUAGAUUAAUUGUUUCGUUUCAGAUCGAGUUGGAGACACAGACACAGAGCGAAGAUAUAGAGGACUAAGAGGAGAGGGUCUCUCUCUGUCUCAGGCAUAAUAUAUAUUGAGAUUAUUUAUGGCCCGCCCGCCCAGUUGAAGCCAAUAAUUCGCCAUGCGCGCUCUCACCCACAAAUCUUGCUUUUCACCCCCACCCAAGAGAGGCUUAACAACAAAGGUGAAAGGUAGUUGAUGUGCAUGGGACAUCUUGCCAAGUUGAAGAUGAUAUUGGACCACUACAUAUGACAAUGAAGUGUACAUGUAAGGUGGGGGAAAAAGGACAAUAUAAUUGUGAGGUGGAGAAACGCUGGACAGCAAAUUGCACGGUUUCCCCAUAACGAGGCUGAGAAGCUAGGGUCGUCAUCUGAAGAUGAUGAAGACUGAUCUCCCAUUCGAGAGUUGAUUGUUCUUCCAACCACUAAUACCGGCAUUAUUGGAACCCGAACAAUUUUGGUCGAUUCAAUGAUGGUUGAUCGAGCAGGCUGGAUACAUUUUUUAAUGCCAUAAGUUCAUACACAUUUUAAUUACAUGUAGGAUUCCUUGAUACCAUUUUUAUGCCUUUGUUAUAUCUCCAAAUAAAUCCAAAUUAAAAACCCUAUUCCCAUUUCUCUC